UCAACCAACUGAGCCACCAGGGUCCCCUGAAGUUCUCAACCUUUUAAACUCUAUCUCCUGUAAUACAUAUAAAAAGCUCAUAUACUCUGUCAUGGGUUGAGUUGUGCUCCCCACAUGUUGAAGUCCUAAUCCCCAGGGUCUGCGAAUGUGUCCUUAUUUGGAAAUGGGGACUUUGUAAAUACUCAAGUUAGGAUAAGGUCACUAAGUUGGACCCUAAUCCAGUAUGACUGUGUCCUUAUAAAAAGGGAAAGUUUGGACACAUACAUGUCACACAGGGGCUAUGAAGAUGAAGACAGGUGUCAGAAGGUUGCAUCUACAAGUCCAGAAAUACCAAAGGUUGCCAACACACCCCCAGAAGCCAGCUACUCAACCAUGGGAAAGAAGCUGCCAUGAGGAUGGAUGUUGUCCGUGGGCUCCCCCUGCUGGAAGAGUCAAUGAUGUGUGUCAACCACCCUGAUCCAGCUGCAUUUACACCUGUGUCUCCGGAGUGGGAGAAGGACUUCUGGGAUAGGCGAUGUCAGCAUGAAGAACCCUGAAGAACAUGCCAGCCAGUUCUCAGGAAGAUCAAUUUCAAUGAAGAGUAUUCUUAGGAGGCAAGACCCUGGAUAUUGAUUCCUGUAAAACUAUCUAAGCUCCUAUGCCCCUUGGAAAGUCUUCUACACCCAGGAGCACCCCAGUUUGAAGACUACGGCUAUUCAGAACCAAAUAAUCCAUCUGAUUUGACACCUAAAGGAACCAGGUGUAUAAUCAGUAACAGUUAUUACGCUGGAGAGAAAGGCCAACUGGCCUGCUACUCAUCCUGCCUUGCCUGUGUCAGAGCAUGAAGCCAAUAUCCACCUCAUCACCCAUGGAAGAUGCUUCUGGUGUUCGCUCACUAUGUAUUUUUCACUAACAGAACCACUGUUUGGUUCAGAAAGGAAAUAUACCCAGUUUUAGAACUAAAGGCAGCUGUCCAAACUA